rnacentral:rRNA from 1 species
CGUGUAGGCGGUCUGAUUAGUCUGAUGUGAAAGCCCUGGGCUCAACCCAGGAAGUGCAUUGGAUACUGUCAGACUUGAAUACGGGAGAGGGUAGUGGAAUUCCUAGUGUAGGAGUGAAAUCCGUAGAUAUUAGGAGGAACACCGGUGGCGAAGGCGGCUACCUGGACCGAUAUUGACGCUGAGACGCGAAAGCGUGGGUAGCAAACAGGAUUAGAUACCCUGGUAGUCCACGCCGUAAACGAUGAGUACCAGGUGUUGCGGGUAUUGACCCCUGCAGUGCCGCAGCUAACGCAUUAAGUACUCCGCCUGGGAAGUACGGUCGCAAGACUAAA